ensembl:snoRNA SNORD83 Small nucleolar RNA SNORD83
GCCAAAUGAUGAGCUAUAUAGAUGCGUGAGCACUAUGUGCGAGGAUGACCAAAUAUCUAUCACCCUUGACUGAUGGCU